AUAAUGAUAAAGGCCAUGAUUCUGAGAAAUUAUGAAUUGGAGUGAUUUUCAUUAAUCAGACAUUAUUCUAUUUAUUUAUUUAUUUUGAGAUGGAGUCUCACUCUCGCGCCCAGGCUGGAGCGCAGUGGCGCGAUCUUGGCUCAGUGCAACCUCCGCCUCCCGGGUUCAAGCGAUUCUCCUGCCUCAGCCUCCCAAGUAGCUGGGAUUACCAGGCACCCACCUUCAGGAUCAUGUCCUCCACCACGGACGCAUACACGUUCCUGUGGAGUGCCACGGGCUGCAGGGUGAUCCCAAUCUGGAAAAGCAGAAGAAAGCCGUUUGUUCGUAUCGCUGCUUUAGAAACAGCCUCUCUCCAAACAAGCAUACCUCCCUGACAUGCAAAGCGAUGCCUGGUUGGAAGGAGGACUCUGCAAACAUAUUGGGCAAAAUUCACGGGAAAGGAACACGGAAUAUAACAUCUAGAAGAAUGUUAUCUUGUUUUUCCACAUUUCUGGCUGAUAUUUAAAAUAUGACUAUAAUCCUAUUAAAAUCUCUCAAAUCUCCUUCGUGGGAGAACAUGGUUGGGAUCUGCCUGGGUUCUGAUACGCAAUCAACACUUUGAAAGGUCUGGAAUCAGACUCCAACGUCCUGUUUGCACUUGGAAACUGCAUCUUGCCCAUUCUUCAUGGCAUCCAAUGAAAGCACACUGUCUUUCACCUUGGGCCCUGAGCAACUGGCAGAUGCUGAAGAGCUGUUAGGCUCCAGCAGGGUGGAUAAAUACCUCUCUCCUGUAUAGUAAGGCAGGUGCACGCCAUCUGCACCACAGGCGGGGCACUCAGGAGCUAUCAACACAUCAGGGGAGGAUUACGCGCUGACGUGCAACUCAGAAAGAGUACGACGUGCCUCAUGAGGGAAAGGUGCUUCUACUGAGGCAGAUGAGAAAAACAAGAUGAAGAGUAAUCAACCAUUUCUAUCUAGCCAGCUUUGCUUCACGUCUGCGUUCAACAAGCAAUGUUUUCACAUGUAAUUAGCAUUUCUGCCCAAGGGCUCUGAUGUGGGACGGUGGGAGCCCUGAGAGCACACCUGGGUCAACCAGGCAGAAGGAAGUCAAGCAUCUACGGCACCAGAAGAGUCUGGGUCUGAGUCUGUGUCUGUGAGGCUGAACACCUGGGUCUGGGUCUGUGAAGCUGAACGUCUGAACAUCUAGCUCUGAGCUGGUCUGCUGCAUGAACUAUUAACACCACAACCCCUACCUUCUGUGUGACAUCCCCAAUAAAUUCAGACCCUGGGGUUGGUGGCAGGUAGAACUUGACUUCCUCUUGUUUCUCUUCCUGCUCCUUCUUGAUGUUUAUCUUCACUGGCUCGGAGAGGCUGAGGAUGUCCACCUCCUCCUCAUUCUCGGGUUCCCUUUUCUGGAACUGUUGCAGGUCCUCCAGUUUGCGGCAGAGGUUGUCAGCAGAGGAGAAUGAUGAUGGGCACUCUAAAUGACAGGCAAGCAGUGUUACAACAGCUGUGGGGCCAACGGAAGAGGACUUUCCGUCUCCAAGAGACCCAUGGUCUGAGGAAGGGGGAUAAGCAUCAGGGGAGCUGACCUUCUUUCCAGUUCUAACAUUCUAUGGAUCUAUAAUGAUGAGAACUAGUAAUUCACGAGGGAGAAAGGCAUAAACACAGGCAUCUUGUGUGUGAUCUAUGUAAGGUAACUGCCAUCUAAGAUGAAAGAGUAGGAAUUCUCACUUCUGCCACCAAAAACCAGGUCAUCCCCCUCCCUCUGAGUAUUAAGGACUGACCUGAUUUUUCCUCAUCUCAAAUCUGGAAAAUUUAGAAAUGCAGAGUGAAGAAAAUAAAAAGAAUCACCCCUAUUCUCACUGCUCAGAGAGCAGGACUGUUAA
rnacentral:lncRNA from 1 species